AGAAACGCAUACGCCCUUUCCUUUCGACAUUCCGGCGUUACCUCUGCCACCUCCGCCGCCAACGCCAGAAUCUUCCCGCCGCCACCUCCCUGACUUUCUCCUCCCUUUCAGCUUAUUGUAGACGGUGCCGCUGCUUAACGGCAUCUCCCGUCUUUAUAGUUCAUGCCCGACGGCAGCAUAGACUGGUCGAUCGACGCCUCCUCCGUAUCCUCUCCUCUUAUUAGGCAUGGAGCAAAAAAAUUGUUUUUGAGCAGACAUCAUCUCGCCGUGGAAAGAUCUUGGAAUUGAUAGGAGACGGCAUAUCAAUGUUCAAGAAGAAGCUAUCGAUCCUCACCAAAAGUUCCCUCUCUCUGCUAUCUAAGGUUCGCUCGUAUUCUCCUCCAUUCCCCUCAUAUUCACUCCGUCUCCCUUCCCGAAACACUGGAAGUUUGCACGAUGAUUUUGCCAACGAGGCACUUCCGCCCUCGUUCUCUCGGUGGCUAAACAUUGCUGCAGAAAGAAAUGAUUACACACCUGAACACUGCACCCGCCGGGAGAGUGAUGAUGCGUUGAAUUACCACAGCAACGGUAUCUAUGAGAACUGCAGUUCAAGCUCAAGGUUGGAGACGCAUCAAAGAUCGAGUCUUUCAGAUGUGCAAGGGGGGGAAUCACACGAUGCUCACACCCAGGUAAAUGCAAAUUGUGCUGAUGGGCGAGUCACUUCCAACUUCUACGAGGGCGCCGAUAGGCGUGACACUAGCAACAGUGCACAUGUGUGCCAAAUGAAUUUCAAUGGCAAUGAAUGGAGAAGCAACCGCGACUUCAGUUCUGAUGGUUACGAUCAGAAAAACUAUACUGGAACUGGUGGGCAGAGUCUAAGUGUGUCUACUAGUCAGCAUAACAAUCUGCAAGUAGGUUGGAAUAGCCAAAUUAGGACGGGGGAGUUCCACCAUAGUUCAAAUUUUGAUCGUGGUCGUAGUGCUAUAGCAAAUACUGAAUCAUAUGGAAAUCGGAAAGAAUGGCAUAGAAGUAACAAAUUUGAUCCUAGUGGACGUUAUGGAGAGAAAUAUCCAGAACGCUUAGGAGAAGACGCAUAUUCAAGCUUUGUCAAUGCAAAAUAUGGACAUAAUCCAGGGACAUUGCAACACGACCCCAAUUCUAACUGUCUGGAUAACAGAGCAGGAGCUUUUCCAAAUUGCCAGAAAGGAACUUAUACAGAUACCGAAGCAAAUAUUCAUCAAAGGUCAAAUGGGUAUUACACAGCUGGAUAUCAAAGAGAGGAUCCUCCUGUUGCUUACGAGAAUUCUGCUUUAUCUGAUAACUCAGUAAAACAAGAUGUUUCUGUAUCUUCUCCUAAUGGAUCUGCUGAAAUUGGCUAUUCUGUAACAUACAAGGGCACAAUUGAAGAACUGAAUCAGUUUUGCAAAGAAAAGAAGAUGAGAGAGGCAGUGGAAGCGUUGGUUAUGCUUGAGAGGAAUGGGUUUGUGGUGGAUCUCCCAAGGUAUUUGAAUUUGAUCCUAGCAUGUGAUGAUGACAAGUUUAAAGAAGAAGCAAGAAAAUUACAUAGCCACAUAUUACAAAGAUUUGAAAAUGUUGACGUUGGAGUAAAUAACAAGUUUCUGAGUAUGUACUUCAAGUGCAGUUCAACGUCGGAUGCCUAUCAGUUAUUUGAUAGCAUGCCCCAUCGAAAUUUGACAUCUUGGGAUACCAUGAUAAUGGGUCUUGCAAAUAAUGGGCUUGGAGAUGAUGCCAUUGAAAUGUUCACCGAGUUUAAACAGAAAGGAUUGACACCUGAUGGAGGAUUGUUUGUCUCCGUUUUUUAUGUCUGUGGUUGUCUAGGAGCUGCUGAGGAAGGAUUGUUGCACUUUGAAUCAAUGAAAAAGGAUUUUGGCAUUGCUCCUGGCAUGGAACAUUACCUUGGCAUCGUAGACAUGCUUGGGAGAGCUGGAUAUUUGGAAGAAGCUCUGGAAUUCAUUGACCAGAUGCCGUUUGAGCCGAGUAUUGAUAUUUGGGAAACAUUGAUGACUGUUUCUAGAUUAAAUGGAAAUUUGGAACUAGGGGAUCUCUGUGCUAAGGUUGUAGAGCACUUAGAUGCAUCCAGGCUGAGUGAGCAAUCGAAGAAGGGUUUGCUGCUUGUGAAAGAUUCAGACUUGGCAAAGGAGAAAGAAAAGAAAAAGGGUCUUCAACUUAAGAGCAAAAUUCGUGAAUAUAGAGCAGGAGACAGAUCUCAUCCUGAGAAUGAUAAGCUUUAUGCACAGCUAAGGUGUUUACAACAACAAAUGAAAGAGGCUGGAUAUGUACCAGACACAAGAUUUGUGCUCCAUGAUGUUGAUCAGGAAUCUAAAGAGGAUGCUUUACUUGCUCACAGCGAGAGGCUAGCUCUUUCUUACGCCCUUAUGACUAGCUCUGUUCGCUCUGAUAUUAGGAUCAUGAAAAAUCUUCGUGUUUGUGGAGAUUGCCAUAAUGCUUUGAAAAUCAUAUCAAAGCUAGUUGGACGACUAAUCAUUGCUAGAGAUGCUAAGAGAUUUCAUCAUUUUGAGAAUGGAGUAUGUUCCUGCAAAGAUUACUGGUAAUCUUGAAGACUUAUUUGGAGCGACUAGAUGAGUAAAUUAUGCUCUUAUGCCUCCUGGUGAGUUCUUGGAAGAUGAACAAGUUACCAAUUUGCCUCACUUCGUCAAUGAUUAAGAUCGAGUGGCUAAAGCAAAGUAUUUAAGUAAUCCAUUGGGUCUGCAGAAGAGCAGAAGACGAAAAAACAGCGCUUCCACGCCGCCGGAGAGAGGGAGCGAUCAAACGACUCCUAUCGCCGCUCACCGCCAUCCUUCUGCCCACCUACUCCGCCGCACCUCCUCCUGUUCCCCGUCGGCUCGUCGUUCUCUGCGCCGGAUCUCCA